AUGCACGUCGCCUUUGCGGUUAAGCAGGACCCUGCACUGGCAAGGGAGGUGGUAGCCGCCGUCAAGGCCAAUGCCACGGGUGUGCUCAACGGAUUCGCCGUGGCGGUACUGCUGUCCGUGGCACGCGUGCGGAGGUUCAACGACGGUGCUGUGGCCGUGCUCCGGGACGCUGCCACUACAUCACGCCGGGAUUAUCGGAUGUCGAGGCGCUGCAAGUGGUUGCCAGAUGGCCUCAAAGAGGAAAGUGUAGAGGCUGCUCAUUGUGUUGAGAAGGCACUACUGAAAGCAGUCGCUGAGAGCAUUGGUGGGAGGGAGCAUGUCGUUCCAAGCAUUGUUCAGGUAGGUUUUCUCCUGUUAGAAGCCUCAAACGGUGAUCCAGGGGAGGAAGAUGGUCCAGACGAAGGGGUUAUGAGCACUGAAGAAAUAGGUGUUAAUAUGCUCAAGUCGUUGUUUGAGACCCACGAAAUGGCACGCACUGAGAUAAUUGAACAAUGCAAGUUCCGGAUCCUCUCAGCAAAGCCCCAGCAAAGUGCACCAGUCCUUCGUUUGCUUGGAUGCUUAGUUCGGAGUCAUCCGUUUCCAAUGCUAGAAUACGUUGCACACCUGAAGGAGUUGCUGGACUAUUUUGCCUUCAUGAAUGACAAGAUAUCGACGGGUCUGAUCAAUUGCAUCUUGCCACUCACUAAGUUCAGCCGUGAUCUCAAGGAUUACAUAAUAUUGGUAGUAAGGAAGGCCAUGUUCAAGCGGGAGGAUGCUGUCCGUAUUGCCGCUACAAAUGCUAUAGUUGAGCUGAUUGUAACAGAGAGCGAGUACAGGAAAAAUGAGGCUAAUCCUUUUCAAGACUCAUCAAGUCAACCGAGCUCUAGCCAGCAACCUGAAAUACAUAGAGAGGUUGGUGUGGAACUCUUUCAAGAAUUAAGUGGAUUGCUUCGCAGAUGUCUUUCCCAGCAGGCUAGAGUCAAAAUGGUUUUGUACGAGGGUCUCAUUCGAAUUGUUACCUCCGAUCCAGAUGUUGCAGACUAUGUCCUUGAUUUCCUGUGGCCUCACUUCCUAAACUAUUACAUAGAGAAUGCUGAAUGCCCCCUUAAAAUGGAUUCAUGUUUUAAAGUUGAGAAUGCCAAAGUAUGUAUGGUGGAACCUUUGGAUUGCCUACUGUCAUGUGUCUCGUGCAUUCUUCGAGCUCAACAAAAUAGUAAAUGUCACCGACCACGUGAUGCAUAUUGGAAGUGUUUUGGUUUUGCUCCUUCCCAGGAUAAUGAGGUUGGAAGAUCCUCAUCAAGGGACUUGUUCAUGAAAGGAUUAUCAAAUAUCCAGAAGUAUUUGAGGAAAUGCCUCACAGAAGAUCAACGAGGACAGACCCAAGAAGCUGGUUCUGCUUCUUCAUCUUUGGAGAUAGUCCAGUGUCAUAACGUUUUUAUGCCUGGAAUCGUUGAGGUUUUUGUUGAUUUUGCUUCUUCAAAACUAGCUGAAGCUGCUGAUGAACCGAAGGAGAAGUUAGAAAAAGAAAUACUGGAGCUCGUUGAUGCUCACAGUGGCUUUGAGAGGAAAACAAGCAAGAGCAGGGAGAAAGUUGCACGAAGAAGAGGGGAUUCAAGAAGUGCUACAGAUAGGCAGACUAAUGAACCUAAUGAAAAUUCAAACGCUUCUUUGCUGAAAUUACAUGAAAAGAGGGGGAAAUUUAUGAAUUCAAGUUUGUAUGAGCUUGUAGUGAUGUGUGCCAAACAGUGCCAUGCUGAUAAAUAUGAUAAAGGCAGCCAGCGUCCUAGCCAAUCUAAAUUGAAUCAGAGCUCCAAUCUAUUAUCCUUUGUACUGAAAGCCUGUCUUGAGAUGUUCAGAUCACUUACAGCUAAGGCAAGUGAUCUGGCCAUUGGAAAUCUAAGAAGAACGCGGUAUGAAGAUGUAAAAAACUUAGCGCAGCCAAUUGUGAAGCUCAUAUGGUGGCUUAUGUUAGAUUCAGAGCAAGAGAAUGGUGGAUUCAAGAAGAACACAACCCAAGGGAAGAAAACAGUUGAAAACAAAAAGGAUCAGUUAUAUCUGGCAUUGACAUGCUUUAAAGAACUUUUUAAACUAAGUGUAUCAGAAGACCGUUCUAGUGACAUUACUGAUCUUCUGAUAUCUUCGGCUCCUUCAAAUAUAGAGGAUAUGAUGGAAGCUGACCAGCUUCUUGACAAUGACACUACUGUGACUGAGAAUCCAGCAAAAAGAGGCGCUCAUGUGUUUCUGAACAUAUUGAAGAUGUUAUAUGCUAGAGCCGCACAUGCUCCUUGUUGGCCUGCUUAUGUUAUUUUGGGUGGAAGUUGUGCCACAGCUGUAUCUGAACUGAUUUUUGGCAUAUCAAGGAAACUGCAUCCUGAUCAGAGGCAUCUUGUGGGACAUUGGGCUGCAGGCUUAUGUCGAAAGAAUACUGUCCAAAGCCCAACCACCGCACAAGAGAUGGUAAAACUCGCUGUCCAUCUUAUGACAACUCCAGAUGACAUGAUUCUUGUGCAUGAGAUGACAACAGAGUUGAAGAAAUUAAUAGCCUCCGGAGACGAGGACUCUGUAGAUUCUUCCGAGGCAUUUCUCAUUGUCAAUUGUAAAACAAAAAAUUCACUUGUUGCUGUCUUCCUUCACAUGGUUGAGUCAUCUCUUAUGGAACUGGAAUGGGGUCUUGGUAAGCUUAAGGCAAUGCUGACAUUAGGUUACGGCUCUUCUAAUGUCGACGAGGAUCAGCCAGCAGAUGAAAGGACGCAAAGAAUGUUUCUGGAGGAAGCACUCUACUCCAGAUCAACAUCAGUAGUUCAUGUUCUUUCGUCUUUCACACAUAUGAGCCUUAAGGAUUCUCAGGCAGAGCAGUUUCUGAAACUGACUGCAAAGUUCUACAAGCUCUUGGCUCACAUCUCAAAGUCUCAGAUUGCACCUAAGGGCUACAAGCAGUUCAUACCAGGUCUCAAAUUUCAGAAAAUGGCGGAAGUAACUUGCAGGAUGCUUACUGCUCCACUUUACAAUUUUGUCUUUACACUUCAAGAGAGUGAGCAACCACACAAAAAAGGAACCCUCGCGAAGAUUAAAAGGGAGAGCAAAUGCAUUCCUGAUCUUAUUUUCCAGGUUGAGGAUUAUGAGAAGUACCUAAUUCAGUUAAGCAAGCUCACAAAGGUGAACCUUCUGAGGCAUGCCAAGCGUAGCGUAGCAAGAGAUUUUCGGAUACAACCAAAGGAGAAAGCUGCAGAAGAAGAACGUGAAGGGGAUUCUCCUCCAGCGAGUGCCGCAUCACCUGAGAGUGACCCUGAGGAGGAUGCAAAAGAAGGUCCAGAUGUUCGUGCUGAUGAAAACCUGCAGGCCAGUGCACAACAUGAUGACACCGUCCAAGAUUCUGAAUCCGAUGGAGAAGAGGAGGAAGUAUUAGUACACAUGAAGAGAGCCAAUGCAAACCAAAUUGUCCAAGAUUCUGAAUCCGAUGGAGAAGAGGAGGAAGUAUUAGCAUGCAGCAAGAGAGCUAAGACAAACCAGAUGGUCCAAGAUUCUGAGUCUGAUGGAGAAGAGGAGGAAAUGUUAGCACGGAGGAAGAGAGCCAAGACAAACCAAAUCAUCCAAGAUUCUGAAUCUGAUGAAGAUGCUGAAGGCGAGUGA
rnacentral:rRNA from 1 species